GGGUGACAGGUGGUGCAUGGUUGUCGUCAGCUCGUGUCGUGAGAUGUUGGUUAAGUCCCGCAACGAGCGCAACCCUCGACCUUAGUUGCCAGCAUUCAGUUGGGCACUCUAAGGUGACUGCCGGCUAAAAGUCGGAGGAAGGUGGGGAUGACGUCAAAUCAUCAUGCCCCUUAUGACCUGGGCUACACACGUGCUACAAUGGGCGGUACAAAGGGUCGCGAACCCGCGAGGGGGAGCCAAUCCCAAAAAGCCGCUCUCAGUUCGGAUUGCAGGCUGCAACUCGCCUGCAUGAAGCCGGAAUCGCUAGUAAUCGCGGAUCAGCACGCCGCGGUGAAUACGUUCCCGGGCCUU
rnacentral:rRNA from 1 species